rnacentral:rRNA from 1 species
UACGGAAGGCAGCAGUGGGGAAUAUUGCACAAUGGGCGCAAGCCUGAUGCAGCCAUGCCGCGUGUAUGAAGAAGGCCUUCGGGUUGUAAAGUACUUUCAGUCGUGAGGAAGGUGUUAAGGUUAAUAACCUUAGCAAUUGACGUUAGCGACAGAAGAAACACCGGCUAACUCCGUGCCAGCAGCCGCGGUAAUACGGAGGGUGCGAGCGUUAAUCGGAAUUACUGGGCGUAAAGGGCACGCAGGCGGUUAAUUAAGUUGGAUGUGAAAUCCCCGGGCUUAACCUGGGAAUGGCAUUCAAGACUGGUUAGCUAGAGUCUUGUAGAGGGGGUAGAAUUCCAUGUGUAGCGGUGAAAUGCGUAGAGAUGUGGAGGAAUACCGGUGGCGAAGGCGGCCCCUGGACAAAGACUGACGCUCAUGUGCGAAAGCGUGGGGAGCAAAC